rnacentral:rRNA from 1 species
GACGUAGGGGGCAAGCGUUGUCCGGAUUUAUUGGGCGUAAAGAGCUUGUAGGCGGUUUGUCGCGUCUGCUGUGAAAAUCCGGGGCUCAACCCCGGACUUGCAGUGGGUACGGGCAGACUAGAGUGUGGUAGGGGAGACUGGAAUUCCUGGUGUAGCGGUGGAAUGCGCAGAUAUCAGGAGGAACACCGAUGGCGAAGGCAGGUCUCUGGGCCACUACUGACGCUGAGAAGCGAAAGCAUGGGGAGCGAACAGG